CCUCUCUAUGAUAGAAACCGAGAAGGUCGGUCUGUCGGUACUUGAGCCGCGCGAUGAGAGCUGGAGUGUUCCGGUUCCUGCCUGAUGCACGAGGCGAGGGUGGCUAUGUUGGAGACUGGCGCCUAAAGGAAGUCCCUUUCAUCAGAUGCUGAAAAUGGAGUCUAAAAUCAUGUUUAUAUCUAGUGGCUUCAGAAGGCUGGACUGUCUCAAUCAUUUCAACCAGCAAGGUUUCAUUUUGUGUUUGUUGAAAACCAUCAAGGUGCCUUUUUGUGCCCUAAGGUAGAGAAAACGUGAAUAUAUUCAUUGUGCGCCUAGCAGACAUCUGACUGUCAUGUUCUUCUUGCUUACAGCAGUGAAAGGCAUACUUGGGAGUGUGAGGGUGGUAAAAAGACACCUGACCAGAACCAUUGCUGCACUCUGAGUGAACUUAAUUUGGGCCUUUCAAAAUAUGCUUGUGGUGGCUGGAGAGAGUUUCUAGAGUAGGAUAUUGAGAGAGCCCUUCAAUUCAAGCAUUGUCUAUCCUAAAGGGAUAUUUUUCUACAUGUCAAUUUCCCCCAGAUUCAUGAAAAACUUCGCACUAUUUUAAACACAUUCAUAGUCUAAUUUCAGCUUGCUUUUGCAUCUUGGGGGAAUGUGGGAAUAUGUUGUUUGUGUUUUUAAUUAAAUGAUUUUAACAUUAUUUAUUAGUUACAUGUUUCUUAUCUUCACCACCUUGUGGACCUUGGUAGGGUGGAAAGGUGGCAUAAGAAUGUCUGAAAUAAGUGCCCCCUCCUAUUUUCCAAAUACUGAUUUCAGGCCAUUGGUUAUAUUUUUGUUAAAUUGUGAUGUAGAGGGACUUGUAUGAUUUGCAAUAGCUGAAGAUGCUGCAUUUUCUUAUCUGUUAAAUGGAAUUACUGAUAAAAACAUACAUUUUUGAAUGAUGCUUUUGUUCUCAUGCUGAAAAUGAAGUACUUAAGAUGAAAUACUGUUACUAGAAUAAAAUAUUAGCCUUCUUUCAAA